rnacentral:lncRNA from 1 species
CGUCCAUUACGUGAUCUCAGUGUCAGAGAAGAAUACAUUUCUCGGUGUUGUCAUGUUGAUGAGAACGCAAAGGCUGGGACGACGGUGCAGAUUUUGUAAAGCAUAGAACGUUUGGAAGACGAAAAAGACCUGUACGACGCGACAGUUGAAUCUUGCGCUGCAUUCGACGUAACCGCAUCUCCAAUGUUUUCGUACGAGAUUGACGAUAUCCCUGUACCUUGUACCGGAAGCCACGCUGCUUGAGAGCUCAUCUUGUUUAUUGCCGACCACUAAAAGAGGUGCGAACUGACGGGAAAGAACGGAAUCGUAGGUAGAUCUGUGAUUUUCAAUUCGUACAAUCGAUCGGCCAGUACGACGCUCGGGUAGAACGUCUCACGUUUUUCAGUUGGCCUGUAUUCCUCGGAGAAUUCGCUCCAAACGAAUUGCUGAAGCGAAUGAAGAAAAUAUCUCUUAGCUAACAUAUGGUUUCAUCUAAUAGAUGGAAGAACAAAUAAAAUAUACAAAUAAAAGGAAAGCUUUUUGGCGCGUUAA